rnacentral:rRNA from 1 species
GAGGAAUAUUGGUCAAUGGGCGCGAGCCUGAACCAGCCAAGUAGCGUGCAGGAUGACGGCCCUAUGGGUUGUAAACUGCUUUUGUAUGGGGAUAAAGUCAAUCACGUGUGAUUGUUUGCAGGUACCAUACGAAUAAGGACCGGCUAAUUCCGUGCCAGCAGCCGCGGUAAUACGGAAGGUCCGGGCGUUAUCCGGAUUUAUUGGGUUUAAAGGGAGCGUAGGCUGGAGAUUAAGUGUGUUGUGAAAUGUAGACGCUCAACGUCUGAAUUGCAGUGCAUACUGGUUUCCUUGAGUACGCACAACGUUGGCGGAAUUCGUCGUGUAGCGGUGAAAUGCUUAGAUAUGACGAAGAACUCCGAUUGCGAAGGCAGCUGACGGGAGCGCAACUGACGCUUAAGCUCGAAGGUGCGGGUAUCAAACAGGAUUAGAUACCCUGGUAGUCCGCACAGUAAACGAUGGAUGCCCGCUGUUGGUACCUGGUAUCAGCGGCUAAGCGAAAGCAUUAAGCAUCCCACCUGGGGAGUACGCCGGCAACGGUG